rnacentral:rRNA from 1 species
CAGCCGCCGCGGUAAUACGGAGGGUGCAAGCGUUAUCCGGAUUUAUUGGGUUUAAAGGGUCCGUAGGCGGAUCUGUAAGUCAGUGGUGAAAUCUCACAGCUUAACUGUGAAACUGCCAUUGAUACUGCAGGUCUUGAGUAAAUUUGAAGUGGCUGGAAUAAGUAGUGUAGCGGUGAAAUGCAUAGAUAUUACUUAGAACACCAAUUGCGAAGGCAGGUUACUAAGAUUUAACUGACGCUGAUGGACGAAAGCGUGGGGAGCGAACAGGAUUAGAUACCCCCGUAGUCCCUGUCUCUUAUAC